UACGGGGGGGGCAAGCGUUGUUCGGAAUUACUGGGCGUAAAGGGCUCGUAGGCGGCCAACUAAGUCAGACGUGAAAUCCCUCGGCUUAACCGGGGAACUGCGUCUGAUACUGGAUGGCUUGAGUGUGGGAGAGGGAUGCGGAAUUCCAGGUGUAGCGGUGAAAUGCGUAGAUAUCUGGAGGAACACCGGUGGCGAAGGCGGCUCACUGGCCCGGUACUGACGCUGAGGUGCGAAAGCGUGGGGAGCAAACAGG
rnacentral:rRNA from 1 species